UUGGUGCCUUCGGGAACUGUGAGACAGGUGCUGCAUGGCUGUCGUCAGCUCGUGUUGUGAAAUGUUGGGUUAAGUCCCGCAACGAGCGCAACCCUUAUCCUUUGUUGCCAGCGGUUAGGCCGGGAACUCAAAGGAGACUGCCAGUGAUAAACUGGAGGAAGGUGGGGGAUGACGUCAAGUCAUCAUGGCCCUUACGACCAGGGCUACACACGUGCUACAAUGGCAUAUACAAAGAGAAGCGACCUCGCGAGAGCAAGCGGACCUCAUAAAGUAUGUCGUAGUCCGGAUUGGAGUCUGCAACUCGACUCCAUGAAGUCGGAAUCGCUAGUAAUCGUAGAUCAGAAUGCUACGGUGAAUACGUUCCCGGGCCUUGUACACACCGCCCGUCACACCAUGGGAGUGGGUUGCAAAAGAAGUAGGUAGCUUAACCUUCGGGAGGGCGCUUACCACUUUGUGAUUCAUGACUGGG
rnacentral:rRNA from 1 species